rnacentral:SRP_RNA from 1 species
GCUGGGCGUGGUGGCGCUUGCCUGUAAUCCCAGCUACUGAGGAGGCUGAGGUAGGAGAAUCGCUUGAACCUGGGAGACCGAGGUUGCAGUGAGCGAAGAUCACACCACUGCACUCCAGCCUGGUGACAGACUGAGUCUCUGUCUCAAAAAAAAAAAAAAAAAAAAAAAGACAGGAUAUCACUCUGUCACCCAGGCUGGAGUGCAGUGGUAUAAGCAUAGCUCAUUGCAGCCUCCAACUCCUAGGCUCAAGCGAUCCUACUGCCU